GAGGUGUGAAAUCCCUGGGCUCAACCUAGGAACUGCAUUUCAAACUGGAUAACUUGAGUAUGUCAGAGGGUAUUGGAAUUUCCCCGUGUAGCAGUGAAAUGCGUAGAUAUGGGAAGGAACAUCAGUGGCGAAGGCGAAUACCUGGGAUAAUACUGACGCUGAGGUGCGAAAGCGUGGGGAGCAAACGGGAUUAGAUACCCUGGUAG
rnacentral:rRNA from 1 species